rnacentral:RNase_P_RNA from 1 species
UCGGCAAACCGUUCUAUCGCUGCUUUUAUAAGGAGAGGAAAGUCCGGGCAACACAGAGUAACAUACUUCCUAACGGGAAGAAGGCUGAAGGGCUUUAGUAGUAGAGCAGAAAAUAACCGCUUCGAUGUAUGUCGGAGUAAGGGUGAAAAGGUGAGGUAAGAGCUCACCGGUACCUGUGGUGACAUGGGUAGCCGUGUACCUUAUGUGUUGCAAGAUCAAGUAUACCGGCAGUUUUAGGCUUACUCGGCCGAUGUCGGGGGGUAGAUUGCUCGAGACAUUUGGUGACAAAUGUCCUAGAUAAAUGAUAGAACCCUCCUGGAGGGAACAGGACCCGGCUUAUAGGUUUGCUUUUUUU